GGACAUGGGAGAUGAGUCUGAGAGUUGGAGCAAAAACUUCCGAAAUAUGGGAAUAUUUCAGGCCAGCUGGUAAAAGAGUUGUCGGUACACUCUGUCAAACUUCACUUAGAAACACACAGGAGUUGUUCGAGACGUUUGGAGCAGUUUUUUUCUCUCCUUCAUAUCACAUCCGGGGCUCCAAAGAUGCGCUCACAGAAAAGAAGAAGUCAACAAAGCAGUCCGCCGUCUUCACAACUCUGAGAAACUACAGCAGGUGCUACGAACCGGAGCAAGGACUAACCUCGCCUCAUAACGAGGCCGUGACCUAUAU